rnacentral:rRNA from 1 species
AGCAGCCGCGGUAAUUCCAGCUCCAAUAGCGUAUAUUAAAGUUGUUGCAGUUAAAAAGCUCGUAGUUGAAUUUCGGGAUCAAAUUGUUGGUCGUGCCUCGGUACGCACUGGUAUUAUUGGUUCCUACCUUCUGAAGAACCGCGAUGUCAUUAAUUUGGUGUCGUGGGGAAUCAGGACUGUUACUUUGAAAAAAUUAGAGUGUUUAAAGCAGGCUUACGCUUGAAUACAUUAGCAUGGAAUAAUGAAAUAGGACGUUUGAUUCUAUUUUGUUGGUUUCUAGGAUUGACGUAAUGAUUAAUAGGGAUAGUUGGGGGCAUUAGUAUUCAAUUGUCAGAGGUGAAAUUCUUGGAUUUAUUGAAGACUAACUACUGCGAAAGCAUUUGCCAAGGAUGUUUUCAUUAAUCAAGAACGAAAGUUAGGGGAUCGAAGACGAUCAGAUACCGUCGUAGU